UGAGGAAAUUUGCUACUGAUGUCACUGCAGCAAAAGCUAGUGGGAAAUGUGGUCAGGUUAAGAGAAAAAUAAAACAAUGAUGAUGAUCAUACCUCAUAGGGUGUUGUUUUCUCCUUGUCUGGUUUCUCUGUGGUGUCUUCUGCUUUUCUUUUCUCUUUUCUAUAUGGAGGUACUAAGGGUAGGUUCUCUCAAUAUUAAUGGGGGAAGGGACAGGAAUAAGAGGGCUUGGGUAUUAGAAGUAAUAAAACAGAAAAGGCUUAAUGUAGUUUUCCUACAGGAGACACAUAGUGAUGAGGAAAAUGAGGUUGACUGGGGUAUGUGGUGGGAGGGGCAGCAUAUACUCAGUCAUGGUACUAAUUUCAGUGCUGGGGUGGCAAUCUUGUUUUCCUCAGUCACCCCUAAGCCUGAGGAAAACAAUAUUGCCACCCCAGCACUGAAAUUAGAACCAUGACUGAGUACAUGCUGCCCCUCCCACCACAUACCCCAGUCAACCUCAUUUUCCUCAUCGCUAUGUGUCUCCUGUAGGAAAACUACAUUAAGCCUUUUCUGUUUUAUUACUUCUAAUACCCAAGCCCUCUUAUUCCUGUCCCUUCCCCAUUCAUAUUGAGAGAACCUACCCUUAGUACCUCCAUGUAGAAAAGAGAAAAGAAAAGCAGAAGAAACCACAGAGAAACCAACGAGAAAAAAGACACCCUAUGAAGCAUGAUCAUCGUCAUUAUUUUUUUUUCUUCUCUUAACCUGAACACGUUUCCCACCACCUUUGCUGCUGCAACAGCAGUAAUAAAUUUCCUAAAGCGAAACCGCUUCUUCUCACUCAGCUGGUCUAACCCCACCGUCUUCUGUAACAUCACAGCUGACCUCACAAACUUAUCAAUAUCAAAAUAAUCUGCCAAUUUGACAGAUUUCCCAAAAGUCUGAUCCAGAAACUCAUUUACCUCCUCUAGAUCAUAAACUGAGUCCUCACCAGCAGCUGUCAUAUCUAAAGAGAUAUCCAUAUCCUUCUCUUGAUCCUCCUCAGCUGAGAACACAGACAACUGACUCCCCUCUACCACAUCCCUUUCAAC
ensembl:lncRNA